rnacentral:rRNA from 1 species
AUUGAACGCUGGCGGCAUGCUUUACACAUGCAAGUCGAACGGCAGCGCGGGCUUCGGCCUGGCGGCGAGUGGCGAACGGGUGAGUAAUGCAUCGGAACGUGCCCAGUAGUGGGGGAUAGCCCGGCGAAAGCCGGAUUAAUACCGCAUACGACCUGAGGGUGAAAGCGGGGGACCGAAAGGCCUCGCGCUAUUGGAGCGGCCGAUGUCGGAUUAGCUAGUUGGUGGGGUAAAGGCUUACCAAGGCGACGAUCCGUAGCUGGUCUGAGAGGACGACCAGCCACACUGGGACUGAGACACGGCCCAGACUCCUACGGUAGGCAGCAGUGGGGAAUUUUGGACAAUGGGGGCAACCCUGAUCCAGCCAUGCCGCGUGCGGGAAGAAGGCCUUCGGGUUGUAAACCGCUUUUGUUCGGGAAGAAAUCCUCUGGGCUAAUACCCCGGGGGGAUGACGGUACCGGAAGAAUAAGCACCGGCUAACUACGUG